rnacentral:rRNA from 1 species
GUAGUCAUAUGCUUGUCUCAAAGAUUAAGCCAUGCAUGUCUAAGUAUAAGCAAUAUAUACCGUGAAACUGCGAAUGGCUCAUUAAAUCAGUUAUCGUUUAUUUGAUAGUAUCUUACUACUUGGAUAACCGUGGUAAUUCUAGAGCUAAUACAUGCUAAAAACCCCGACUUCGGAAGGGGUGUAUUUAUUAGAUAAAAAACCAAUGCCCUUCGGGGCUCACUGGUGAUUCAUAAUAACUUAACGAAUCGCAUGGCCUUGUGCCGGCGAUGGUUCAUUCAAAUUUCUGCCCUAUCAACUUUCGAUGGUAUGGUCUUGGCUUACCAUGGUUUCAACGGGUAACGGGGAAUUAGGGUUCUAUUCCGGAGAGGGAGCCUGAGAAACGGCUACCACAUCCAAGGAAGGCAGCAGGCGCGCAAAUUACCCAAUCCUGAUACAGGGAGGUAGUGACAAUAAAUACUGAUACAGGGCUCUUUUGGGUCUUGUAAUUGGAAUGAGUACAACUUAAAUCCCUUAACGAGGAACAAUUGGGGGGCAAGUCUGGUGCCAGCAGCC